GAUGAACGCUAGCGGCAGGCCUAAUACAUGCAAGACGAACGGUAAGUUGAGUAGCAAUACUUAGCCUAGAGUGUCGUACGGGUGCGUAACACGUAUGCAACCUACCCUAUACAGGAGGAUAGCCUAGGGAAACCUGGAUUAACCCUUCAUAGUAUUAUUGGAUGGCAUCAUUUGAUAAUUAAAACUGAGGUGGUAUAGGAUGGGCAUGCGUCUGAUUAGUUAGUUGGCGGGGUAAUGGCCCACCAAGACGAUGAUCAGUAGGGGGUUCUGAGAGGAAGAUCCCCCACACUGGCACUGAGAUACGGGCCAGACUCCUACGGGAGGCAGCAGUAGGGAAUAUUGGUCAAUGGAUGCAAGUCUGAACCAGCCAUGCCGCGUGCAGGAAGAAGGCCUUCUGGGUUGUAAACUGCUUUUGCCAGGGGAUAAAAUUUCCAUGCGUGGAAAACUGAAGGUACCUGGUGAAUAAGCCACGGCUAAACUACGUGCCAGCAGCCGCGGUAAUC
rnacentral:rRNA from 1 species